GAUGAACGCUGGCGGCGUGCUUAACACAUGCAAGUCGAACGGAAAGGCCCAAGCUUGCUUGGGUACUCGAGUGGCGAACGGGUGAGUAACACGUGGGUGAUCUGCCCUGCACUUCGGGAUAAGCCUGGGAAACUGGGUCUAAUACCGGAUAGGACGAUGGUUUGGAUGCCAUUGUGGAAAGUUUUUUCGGUGUGGGAUGAGCUCGCGGCCUAUCAGCUUGUUGGUGGGGUAAUGGCCUACCAAGGCGUCGACGGGUAGCCGGCCUGAGAGGGUGUACGACCACAUUGGGACUGAGAUACGGCCCAGACUCCUACGGGAGGCAGCAGUGGGGAAUAUUGCACAAUGGGCGCAAGCCUGAUGCAGCGACGCCGCGUGGGGGAUGACGGCCUUCGGGUUGUAAACUCCUUUCGCUAGGGACGAAGCGUUUUGUGACGGUACCUGGAGAAGAAGCACCGGCUAACUACGUG
rnacentral:rRNA from 1 species